rnacentral:lncRNA from 1 species
AUGCUCCCAUCCCCGUGGGGACACAUGUGCCACCAUGCUCACAUCCCCAUGGGGACACACGUGCCACCUCGCUCCCUUUCCUAUAGGGACACACGUGCCAGCAUGCUCCUGUCCCCAUGGGGACACGUGUGCCACCAGGCUCCCAUCCCUAUGGGGACACAUGUGCCACCCUGCUCUGAUUCCCUUGGGGACACACGUGCCACCCUUCUUCUAUCCCCAUGGGGACACAAGUGCCACCCUGCUCACAUCCCCAUGGGGACACAAGUGCCACCCUGCUCCCUUUCCUAUAGGGACACAUGUGCCACCAUGCUCCCAUCCCCAUGGGGACACCACAUCCUGCCCUGCUCCCAUCCCCAUGGGUACACACGUGCCACCCUUCUUCUAUCCCAUGGGGACACGCGUGCCACCACGCUCCCAUCCCCACAGGGCCAGGGUGUCCAGCAUGGCCGUGCCACCCCCUCCUGGGGACCACUGCCCCCCCCCUCCUCCCCUUGGGGACCGCCACUCACCGGACAUCGGGGAAGUCGCGCACCAGGACGCCCACCUCCAUCUGCAGCGCCGCCGUGUCCUCCAGCACCAGCAGCUCCCGCAGCCGCGGCACCACCGAAUCCAACCAGGGCGAGGCCGAAUCCUGCGGGCACCGCAGUCUCAGCACCUCUUUUUGGGCUUGGCACCACCCUUGGGUGCCGGGGCGAGGGUGUUGGGGGGGGGGGGGGUCCUGGUGCUCACCAAGCGGCCGAAGAGCUCGCGGAGCUGCCGGGCUUCGUCGCCCAGGCGGGCGGCCACGCGGGCGCGCAUUUUGGCCGAGGUGCAGACCAGGCGCGCCUGCAGCAGCGGCCGCACGUACUCGAUGAGCACCCGCCGGUGCAUCUCGCUCACCAGCACCUGCCACGCACGGGAUCAGCACCCAUGGAUGCCGCCGGCACCCAGCCCGCUGCCCCCAUCGGCACCCACCUGGUAGGGCUCCGGGCGCAGCGAGCGCAGCUUCUGGGUGAAGCUGGUGAUGAGCAUCACGAUGGUGUCGAAGGCGUCCGAGCUCGUCAGCCACUUGCGCUUCAUCAGCUUGUUGAAGUAGGGCUGGGCGAGGGGCGGGCACCCAGUGGGUGA